AGAGAGAUGACACCAAAGAAUCGUCCAGAAAGGAAGCUAUACACAUUCUAAAUUCUACAUAGAGUUUGCUACAUGCAUUUCUUAAACCUACACUGCAUUGGGCCAUGGCAAAUCGUCACUCUUACAAGAGUUCAGGCUUGGGCUGCUUUUAAAAGACAUCAACCUGGAAAUAUCCUAGAUAUGCUUUGCUAUAAAUCAAGCAUAUCUAAGUGUCAUCUUAAAGUUGGGUAUCUCAUUCCAGGCAAACUCAAUCCCAUUCUUCUGACCAGCAGUACCUAUGGUAUUUCUCAGGAGCCUAUAAGCUGUAGAAAUCCUGCAGGCAGCAGAGGGA
rnacentral:lncRNA from 1 species